GCCCGGUUAGCUCAGUCGGUAGAGCAUCAGACUUUUACGCGACAUGUAGCGAUCUGAGGGUCAGGGGUUCAAGUCCCCUAUCGGGCG
rfam:Branchiostoma floridae genomic scaffold BRAFLscaffold_196, whole genome shotgun sequence.